rnacentral:rRNA from 1 species
AUGUACAUUCCUACAACAUAGUGUUAAUGCAUCAGAUCCCAUUAAAACUCUACAGUUAAAUGUUCUCAGGAUAGACUAGUAGUGGGAAUGGGUGACUGCUUGAGAAGUCCUAGUGUUUUACAUG